UGGGGAAUAUUGGACAAUGGGCGCAAGCCUGAUCCAGCAAUGCCGCGUGAGUGAUGAAGGCCUUAGGGUUGUAAAGCUCUUUCGCACGCGACGAUGAUGACGGUAGCGUGAGAAGAAGCCCCGGCUAACUUCGUGCCAGCAGCCGCGGUAAUACGAAGGGGGCUAGCGUUGUUCGGAAUUACUGGGCGUAAAGGGCGCGUAGGCGGCCUGUUUAGUCAGAAGUGAAAGCCCCGGGCUCAACCUGGGAAUAGCUUUUGAUACUGGCAGGCUUGAGUUCCGGAGAGGAUGGUGGAAUUCCCAGUGUAGAGGUGAAAUUCGUAGAUAUUGGGAAGAACACCGGUGGCGAAGGCGGCCAUCUGGACGGACACUGACGCUGAGGCGCGAAAGCGUGGGGAGCAAACAGGAUCAGAUACCCUGGUAGUCCACGCCGUAAACGAUGAAUGCUAGACGUCGGGGUGCAUGCACUUCGGUGUCGCCGCUAACGCAUUAAGCAUUCCGCCUGGGGAGUACGGCCGCAAGGUUAAAACUCAAAGGAAUUGACGGGGUCAUAGCUGUUUCCU
rnacentral:rRNA from 1 species